AGUCGCUAUGCGUGUGCUUGUGGGUGAGGGAGGGCAGAAAGGGAGAGUGCUGGGCGGGCUUGGUCGGAGAUUGAGGACUGGGAAUCCGCUUCCGGGAGGGCACUGUCUAGUGCACAGGCAACCUGGCCUUGGCCUCCUAGCCCGAGAAGCCGAAUCUCCCUAAUCCCUGUGACCUGUGUCACCUCUCCGUCACGACGAGGGGGACAAGUGGGGAGAAGUCUGGUGUCAGAUAGGAUGGCGCUGGAAGAGGGUGCCACAGCGGGGCCGGAAGGCGCCCCCACCCCAACUCCACGGGAAUAUAAACAAUUUGUAUUUUCCGAUCAGGUGGCGGGACAGGCUUCAUUGGGACAGCCCUAACCCAGCUGCUGAAUGCCAGAGGCCACGAAGUGACGUUGAUCUCCCGACACCCUGGGCCCGGCCGGAUCACGUGGGAUGAGCUCGCUGCAUCGGGGCUGCCGAGCUGCGAUGCCGCCGUCAACCUGGCCGGAGAGAACAUCCUCAACCCUCUCCGAAGAUGGAAUGAAACCUUCCAAAAAGAGGUUCUCGGCAGCCGCCUAGAGACCACCCAAUUGCUGGCUAAAGCCAUCACCAAAGCCCCACAACCCCCCAGGCCUGGGUCUUAGUCACAGGUGUAGCUUACUACCAGCCCAGUCUGACUGCGGAGUAUGAUGAAGACAGCCCAGGAGGAGACUUUGACUUUUUCUCCAACCUCGUAACCAAAUGGGAAGCUGCAGCCAGGCUUCCUGGAGAUCCUACACGCCAGGUGGUGGUGCGCUCAGGGGUUGUGCUGGGCCGUGGGGGUGGUGCCAUGGGCCACAUGCUGCUGCCCUUUCGCCUGGGCCUGGGGGGCCCCAUCGGCUCAGGCCACCAAUUCUUCCCCUGGAUACACAUUGGGGACCUGGCAGGAAUCCUGACCCAUGCCCUUGAAGCAAACCACGUGCACGGGGUCCUGAAUGGAGUGGCUCCAUCCUCCGCCACUAAUGCUGAGUUUGCCCAGACCUUGGGUGCUGCCCUGGGCCGCCGAGCCUUCAUCCCUCUCCCCAGCACUGUGGUGCAAGCUGUCUUUGGGCGAGAGCGUGCCAUCAUGCUGCUGGAGGGCCAGAAGGUGAUCCCACGGCGAACACUGGCCACUGGCUACCAGUAUUCCUUCCCAGAGCUAGGGGCUGCCUUAAAGGAAAUUGUAGCCUAAGUAGGUCGUGGCAAGGGCCUGAGGCCUGUCCCUCACAGGCUUCCAAGUUAGGCACUGUGAAUAGGCUCAGUUCCUCUAGAGAGCUGAAGCCAUCUGGUUCUUAGAUUCCUCUCCCAGUCCUCUUUCCCAUUGUUCUGUUGCUCCACCUUAUUGUCUCAAGGCCGUAAUCUCUUCAGGUUGGGACAUUAAUCUUUUCAACUCCUUGUAAGAUUUCCCAGUUUGGUUUCUCUCCAUGUCCUGCAGCUGCCCCACUUCUCCUUUACGCUGUGUAGAGAAUGCUCUGCAGUUUAGGCAAUAAAAAUAAAUUGUAUCACUAA
rnacentral:sRNA from 1 species